rnacentral:rRNA from 1 species
AACGUAGGAGACAAACGUUAUCCGGAGUUACUGGGCGUAAAGGGCGUGUAGGUGGUUGCGUAGGUCUGGCGUGAAAUUUUUCGGCUUAACCGGGAAAGGUCGUCGGAUGACUGCGUAGCUAGAGGACGGUAGAGGCGUGUGGAAUUCCGGGUGUAGUGGUGGAAAUGCGUAGAGAUCCGGAGGAACACCAGUGGCGAAGGCGACACGCUGGGCCGUACCUGACACUGAUGCGCGACAGCAUGGGGAGCAAACGGGG